AUCCUACUACCUCCGUACGGAAAUAUUUGUCAUCAAAAUGAAUAAAAGGAGAUGUAUCUAGACGUAUUUUAGUUCUAGAUACGUCCUUUUUUUUAUUUUGAUGACAAGUAUUUUCGGACGGAGGGAGUACAAC
rfam:Triticum aestivum genome assembly, contig: Triticum_aestivum_CS42_TGACv1_scaffold_405998_5BL